UUGAAUAAGAAGUGGAACACUUAAAAUCCACUUCAGAAUUAUUCAGAUGAGUGCGUAUUUUUUUAUGCCUUUUUAUUUACAUAGUAAGUCGGUUAAAAGAGUUAAAACGCGAACACUCGCGUUUGUAAGGAGGAAACACCCAUGCAAAAUGGUAAAGUAAAAUGGUUCAACGCUGAGAAAGGUUUCGGCUUCAUCGAAGUUGAAGGCGGAAACGACGUAUUCGUUCACUUUUCUGCGAUUCAAUCAGAAGGCUUCAAGUCUCUUGAAGAAGGACAAGAAGUAUCUUUCGAAAUCGUUGAUGGCGAGCGUGGACCGCAAGCUGCUAACGUAACAAAACUUUAAUAGUAAAGUUUAAA
rnacentral:sRNA from 1 species